GUACUUUCCUGGCAAGGGAGACACCAUGAUCAGUCAGGUGGUUUUCCCAGGGCAAGGCUCAUCCCCUGCUCUCUGAGUGUGCUGGUUUUUGUUUUGGGAUUUUUUUGCAGUUGAACUAGAAGAUCUUUGUAUGUCC
rnacentral:snRNA from 1 species